AGGACGAACGCUGGCGGUGUGCUUAACACAUGCAAGUCACGGGGGCCCGCAAGGGUAACCGGCGAACGGGUGCGUAACACGUGAACAACCUGCCCUCGUGUGGGGGAUAGCCGGGCUAACGCCCGGGUAAUACCGCAUACGGUCAUCGAGAGGAGUCUCUUGGUGAAGAAAGCUCCGGCGCACGGGGAGGGGUUCGCGGCCUAUCAGCUAGUUGGCGGGGUAAUGGCCCACCAAGGCGACGACGGGUAGCUGGU
rnacentral:rRNA from 1 species